rnacentral:rRNA from 1 species
UACAGAGGGGGCAAGCGUUGUUCGGAAUUACUGGGCGUAAAGGGCGCGUAGGCGGCCCGGUAAGUCAAAGGUGAAAUCCCUCGGCUCAACUGAGGAACUGCCUUUGAAACUGUCGGGCUUGAGGCCGGGAGGGGGUAGCGGAAUUCCCAGUGUAGCGGUGAAAUGCGUAGAUACUGGGAGGAACACCAGUGGCGAAGGCGGCUACCUGGACCGGUUCUGACGCUGAUGCGCGAAAGCGUGGGUAGCAAACAGG